CGUUAUGUUACCGUUAUGUUCCUGUUCUGUUCCUGCUCUGUUCCUGCUCUGUUCCUGUUCUGUUCCUGUUCUGUUCCUGCUCUGUUACCGUUCUGUUCCUGUUCUGUUCCUGCUCUGUUACCGUUCUGUUAUCGUUCUGUUACCGUUCUGUUACCGUUCUGUCAGGAAUCCUCUAUCUAAUAACUGUUUUCAGAUUUCUCUAAAACAUGUUCCUGUUCUGUUCCUGUUCUGAUACCGUUCUGUUCCCAUUCUGUCAGGAAUCCUCUCUCUCUAAUAACAACUCAUUUAUUUUCUAACACAAUGUUGUGAGCAGAGAUGCAGUUUUCACAAAUUGGUAGCGGAUUGCUGUUUUAAUUUUUUUUUUUUUUUUUUUAAAUGGUUCUAAAAUCUGAGGAUAUUUUCGUAUCUUGAUCUGAUGUUUACAGAACGUGAUGUAAUGCCGUGCAGUCAGUGACUGUCAGGACAUGUAUAGUACCAGAGGAGGGAUAUGGUAUGUCUCUGAGUUGGUCUCUUUAGGUGUCCUUUUAUGUGUGUUCAGUAACGCUGUUGGUUCCGUUUGUCCGUGUUAGACGGUCUUGUUGUUGCCUGUAGUGGGAGAUUUGAAAGGUUAGUUGUAUAGGGAGUCCUCUAGCCUGUUGGCAGUGUAUUUAGCUGUAGAGGAUAUUCCACAAGUGUCCCCGGGUGUUUUAGACAAGGCCUUUCUUCAUUGUCAUCAUCAUCAUCAUCAGAAAUGUUAACAGUAGAAAGCUUCCUAUUUGUAAUGGACUGGUUUCUAAAAUCAAACCAUUUUUUAAUUGGCUGAAUUAUUAAUGAUCCUGAAAUGAGGCCCUCUUCCCCUCUGUCGUCUGCUCAUAUCAGCCAGCGCCGUCAUUAUUGAUUAUUGGAACCGGCGAUUCACCGAUCAAGAAUCUCUCUCCCGUGUCCUCCUGCGUUGUUUCAGGGAAUUCCACAAACGGUCCUUCGUUCAUAUUUCAGUGUGUCGUGUACCAGCUGCUUUCUAAACGGUAGUGUCCAUGUUUUAGGCAGUGGACUAACAGUCAGUGGUCGUAUCUGACUGUAUCUAACAGAUGGAAAUUGUCAUUUUGAAAGUAUCGAAAAAAGGGGUUUCUGAAAUACAAAACGUGAACUCGUAAAAGAACCACUGUUGCCACGAGGACGUGGAUUUAUAACAUAUGAAAUUGAUCUUGGGGGUUUAACGUGGGGGCGUAUUUCCUGUUCUCACUGCGCUACGCCUUUCCUUCUCUGAUGCGUCGUGUCUAACUCUGAGCCACCUAAUUAACGUACUGUACUCCCUCCGUGGUGUCUGUCCAAUGAAAUGAGCAGUAGAUUGCCAGCGGGUUGGGCUGUGUUCACGUGACUACCGUUGUGAUUUAGGAGAACGUAGACAGACUUCAUACUAGGAACGUUAGAAUCUCCUGAUUUUGAUUUUAAAAAAAUUAAUCAUUGUAAAAAAAAGGGGGUUUUGGGGCGAGGGGUGUGUAUCAUCAUCGUCGUGUUUUAAAGUGAUAUACGAGACGUUUUAACGUGAUAUAAAAGAGACCGUUGUUGACGUGUUCUGACAACUCUCCUCGUGGUUUUGUCUUGAACUUUAAGCUUUUGGACGUGGAAAUUUUUCCUUAACAUUUUAAAAGUACCAUUUAAAAACCAAGAUUUGUAAACAUUUUUUAAAUAAAUUAAAAAUAAAAAUAAAAAUUGAUGUUAAAAAAAGGGGUCAGAAUGUGGUCCCGGUUUGCUGCCUCCUGCUCUGCUGAGCAGCGUCUCUGUACAGUCAUCUCUUAUCAUCAUAACAUGGUGUCAGGAGUGAACCAACCUCAUCAAAUAAUAACAACCGAGUUCAUCUGAUAUAAGACCGGAAAAACAUUGUUAGACUCGACACGAGAGAAUAUCUGACAGAAAAUAAUACUAUUACGUGAGUUUGGUCGAGUUUUUUUUUUUUUUUUUUUUGUGAAGGAAAAAGAGGCUGAAAGCUCUGUCUCUCUCUCAUCAUCCGAGCGGAGCCGUUGCUAUGGAACAGGCAGAGAGCACAUGGAGCAGAAGCAGGACAAUGUAGGGCCCCAGAGGUGCGCAGGGCCCCAGAGGUGCGCAGGGCCCCAGAGGUGCGCAGCUAACAGAGAAAGUUAUUUCUGAUUUUGGGUUAGGACAGAUGCUAAAUUAAAUAAUUUUUUUAUUUAUUUUUUGGUUAGGUUUUUUUUUUAAAUUCACAAUCCCAAUGUUUUGUUUUAACUUUCUCAACUCUACUUCGCUAGUUCAUUAAUCGUUUCAUCCUCUACCUAUCAUUUGGACAUGUUAAACAACUUGACUGCCCUGUCUCUGACUGGUCAUAUUAUCUCUGUCCUGUCUCUGACUGGUCAUAUUGUCUCUGUCCUGUCUCUGACUGGUCAUAUUGUCUCUGACUGGUCAUAUUGUCUCUGUCCUGUCUCUGAUUGGUCAUAUUGUCUCUGACUGGUCAUAUUGUCACUGACUGGUCAUAUUGUCUCUGUCCUGUCUCUGACUGGUCAUAUUGUCUCUGACUGGUCAUAUUGUCUCUGUCCUGUCUCUGACUGGUCAUAUUGUCUCUGACUGGUCAUAUUGUCUCUGACUGGUCAUAUUGUCUCUGACUGGUCAUAUUGUCUCUGUCCUGUCUCUGACAGGUCAUAUUGUCUCUGACUGGUCAUAUUGUCUCUGUCCUGUCUCUGACUGGUCAUAUUGUCUCUGACUGGUCAUAUUGUCUCUGACUGGUCAUAUUGUCUCUGCCUGGUCAUAUUGUCUCUGUCCUGUCUCUGACUGGUCAUAUUGUCUCUGACUGGUCAUAUUGUCUCUGCCCUGUCUCUGACUGGUCAUAUUGUCUCUGACUGGUCAUAUUGUCUCUGUCCUGUCUCUGACUGGUCAUAUUGUCUCUGACUGGUCAUAUUGUCUCUGACUGGUCAUAUUGUCACUGUCCUGUCUCUGACUGAUCAUAUUAUCUCUGACUGGUCAUAUUGUCUCUGUCCUGUCUCUGACUGGUCAUAUUGUCUCUGACUGGUCAUAUUGUCUCUGACUGGUCAUAUUGUCACUGUCCUGUCUCUGACUGAUCAUAUUAUCUCUGACUGGUCAUAUUGUCUCUGUCCUGUCUCUGACUGGUCAUAUUGUCUCUGACUGGUCAUAUUGUCUCUGACUGGUCAUAUUUUCACUGUCCUGUCUCUGACUGAACAUAUUAUCUCUGACUGGUCAUAUUGUCUCUGUCCUGUCUCUGACUGGUCAUAUUGUCUCUGUCCUGUCUCUGACUGGUCAUAUUGUCUCUGACUGGUCAUAUUGUCUCUGACUGGUCAUAUUGUCUCUGUCCUGUCUCUGACUGGUCAUAUUGUCUCUGUCCUGUCUCUGACUGGUCAUAUUGUCUCUGUCCUGUCUCUGACUGGUCAUAUUAUCUCUGACUGGUCAUAUUGUCUCUGUCCUGUCUCUGCCUGGUCAUAUUGUCUCUGUCCUGUCUCUGCCUGGUCAUAUUGUCUCCGUCCUGUCUCUGCUUGGUCAUAUUGUCUCUGCCUAGUCAUAUUGUCUCUGACUGGUCAUAUUGUCUCUGACUGGUCAUAUUGUCUCUGACACUACCAGACACAACAGCCUCUAGUGAGGUUGGGGAGCUGGGGCUGCUAGGAAGUCUCUCUCUCUAAAUGGUAGAGUAGUGGGAGAAGUCCUCUCUCUCUCUCUCUCUCUCUCUCUGGUUGUAUUAAAUGAGAGAGGAUAACCUGUCUAACCUUUUAUAAAGCUAGUAGGCUGAUUUGAUAUGAAACACUUUUCCCCAAAAGCCUUUUUGAAGCGAUGUCAUGUUCAUCAUGCACCAAAAUGGACAGAAACAGGGAGUACUAUUUGCCUUUUUGUGUUGCACAAUGUUUUUGAAACGUAUGUGCCCUAAUGAACACGACCCAGGUGUGGACAGACAGGCAGCAAGUCAACAAGGAUGUUAUGAACGUGUUAAAGGGGCAGUGUAAAACCAGUGUGAGGAAGAGACGGUUUAGGGGCUGUAGUAGUGUAGAUCCUGGAUUCUGUUGUCUUUUUUAAUUAAAGUUUU